AAACUGUGUUGUGGGUAUGAACUGACAAGAUCCUUAAACCGCUCCCAACAUUAAAAGAAUGUUUCAUCUUCCUUUUGGUCGAAGUUCAUAAUCGACUUUCUGAUGGU